UACGUAGGGAGCAAGCGUUGUUCGGAGUUACUGGGCGUAAAGGGUGCGUAGGCGGCUUUUUAAGUUUGGUGUGAAAUCUCCCGGCUCAACUGGGAGGGUGCGCCGAAUACUGAGAAGCUAGAGUGUGGGAGAGGAAAGUGGAAUUCCUGGUGUAGCGGUGAAAUGCGUAGAUAUCAGGAGGAACACCGGUGGUGUAAACGGCUUUCUGGACCAUAACUGACGCUGAGGCACGAAAGCGUGGGUAGCAAACAGG
rnacentral:rRNA from 1 species